AUACGUAGGUGACAAGCGUUAUCCGGAUUUACUGGGUGUAAAGGGAGCGCAGGCGGGCGUGCAAGUCAGCUGUGAAAUCCAUGGGCUUAACCCGUGGGCUGCAGUUGAAACUGUAUGUCUUGAGUGAAGUAGAGGUAGGCGGAAUUCCGAGUGUAGCGGUAAAAUGCGUAGAUAUUCGGAGGAACACCGGUGGCGAAGGCGGCCUACUGGGCUUUAACUGACGCUGAGGCUCGAAAGUGUGGGGAGCAAACAGGAUUAGAUACCCUGGUAGUCCACACUGUAAACGAUGAUUGCUAGGUGUGGGGGGUCUGACCCCUUCCGUGCCGCAGUUAACGCAAUAAGCAAUCCACCUGGGGAGUACGGCCGCAAGGCUAAAACUCAAAGGAAUUGACGGGG
rnacentral:rRNA from 1 species